GAUGAACGCUGGCGGCGUGCCUAAUACAUGCAAGUCGAGCGAACAGACGAGGAGCUUGCUCCUUUGACGUUAGCGGCGGACGGGUGAGUAACACGUGGGUAACCUACCUAUAAGACUGGGAUAACUUCGGGAAACCGGAGCUAAUACCGGAUAAUAUUUCGAACCGCAUGGUUCGAUAGUGAAAGAUGGCUUUGCUAUCACUUAUAGAUGGACCUGCGCCGUAUUAGCUAGUUGGUAAGGUAACGGCUUACCAAGGCAACGAUACGUAGCCGACCUGAGAGGGUGAUCGGCCACACUGGAACUGAGACACGGUCCAGACUCCUACGGGAGGCAGCAGUAGGGAAUCUUCCGCAAUGGGCGAAAGCCUGACGGAGCAACGCCGCGUGAGUGAUGAAGGUCUUCGGAUCGUAAAACUCUGUUAUUAGGGAAGAACAAACGUGUAAGUAACGGUGCACGUCUUGACGGUACCUAAGCAGAAAGCCACGGCUAACUACGU
rnacentral:rRNA from 1 species